rnacentral:rRNA from 1 species
CCUACGGGAGGCAGCAGUGGGGAAUCUUGGACAAUGGGCGCAAGCCUGAUCCAGCCAUGCCGCGUGAGUGAUGAAGGCCUUAGGGUCGUAAAGCUCUUUCGCCAGAGAUGAUAAUGACAGUAUCUGGUAAAGAAACCCCGGCUAACUCCGUGCCAGCAGCCGCGGUAAUACGGAGGGGGUUAGCGUUGUUCGGAAUUACUGGGCGUAAAGCGUACGUAGGCGGACCAUUAAGUUGGGGGUGAAAUCCCGGGGCUCAACCCCGGAACUGCCUCCAAAACUGCUGGUCUUGAGUUCGAGAGAGGUGAGUGGAAUUCCGAGUGUAGAGGUGAAAUUCGUAGAUAUUCGGAGGAACACCAGUGGCGAAGGCGGCUCACUGGCUCGAUACUGACGCUGAGGUACGAAAGUGUGGGGAGCAAACAGGAUUAGAUACCCUUGUAGUC